CGCCGCGUGGAGGAUGACGGCCUUCGGGUUGUAAACUCCUGUCAGAGGUGAAGAAAACCCCCCUUCGGGGGGGCUUGACGGUAACCUCAGAGGAAGCCCCGGCUAACUACGUGCCAGCAGCCGCGGUAAUACGUAGGGGGCAAACGUUGCUCGGAAUUACUGGGCGUAAAGGGUGUGUAGGCGGCUGAGCAAGUCAAGGAUGAAAUCCCGGGGCUCAACUCCGGAAUGGUCCUUGAAACUGUUCAGCUUGAGGAUGGUUGAGGAGAGCGGAAUUCCCGGUGGAGCGGUGAAAUGCGUAAAUAUCGGGAGGAACACCAGAGGCGAAGGCGGCUCUCUGAGCCAUUCCUGACGCUGAGACACGAAAGCUAGGGGAGCAAACGGGAUUAGAUACCCCGG
rnacentral:rRNA from 1 species